rnacentral:lncRNA from 1 species
AGACACAGUGUGAAGGCAGCUGUCUGCAAGCCAGGAAGAGAGCCCUCCCCAGAACCUGACUAUGCUGGCACCCUGAUCUCAGUCUCUGAAUUUAAAGGAUGCAGCAGGCCACUCCAGGGCCACAGAGGAUGCUAAAGUUAUAAGAUAGAAGGACUCUGUGUCCCUGGAUCAGCACGUGAAGGUCAACAACCAAACACCUACAGUGCAUUAUGUGAGCAAGAAAUAAAAUUCCAGUGUGCUAGGCCACUGAGAUUUUAAGGCUGUUUAUUACAACUCAUCUGCUUGGACAAAGACAGUAAUUUAUCCCAGAUGCCAG